rnacentral:tmRNA from 1 species
GGGGAUGCUUAUAUUCGAUAAACAGAUUUUUGACAUUAGUAGGCCAUUCGAGGUGGAUUUCUCGUUAAAUAUCCAAAAAGAUAAGCGCAAAAAACCUUAUCACGCGAGUACGAUCUGCUUUUGCAGGUUUAGCAUUCGCACCAGCUUUAGCUUAAUUUAAGCUUAGCCGCUCGUCUUGCGAUGUCUCAUAGCAAAUCACGAGUGCCAAUCAUGGGGCUUGGGUAUUCAUUUUUCUUGAGUGAAUAUUGACCUUUUAUCAAGAAUCGUAUGAAUGUAUUUUGCCACUUUUAAGCAUUCGUAUUAAACUUCAAAACUGGUCUAUAAUGGUAGUCCUCUAAUGAAAAGCUGCUUACACGCGGGUGAGAUCCCCGCCAUCUCCAGGA